rnacentral:rRNA from 1 species
AGAGUUUGAUCCUGGCUCAGGAUGAACGCUGGCGGCGUGCUUAACACAUGCAAGUCGAACGGUUCUAGAGGUUAGAGUUUAGAGGUUAGAGGUUAGAAACAAGCAGUGCAUACGGGUCUAAAAAAGGCGUGUAAGCAGUGCGAGGAUCUAACUUCGAACAUCUAACCUCUAACCUCUAGGAUAGUGGCGGACGGGUGAGUAACGCGUGGGUAACCUGCCCUUAAGAGGGGGAUAACACCGCGAAAGUGGUGCUAAUACCGCAUGAAGUCAUAAUACUGCCUGGUAGAAUGACCAAAGGAGUAAUCCGCUUAAGGAUGGACCCGCGUCUGAUUAGCUAGUUGGUGGGGUAACGGCCUACCAAGGCGACGAUCAGUAGCCGGCCUGAGAGGGUGAUCGGCCACACUGGGACUGAGACACGGCCCAGACUCCUACGGGAGGCAGCAGUGGGGAAUCUUCCGCAAUGGACGAAAGUCUGACGGAGCAACGCCGCGUGAGUGAGGAAGGCCUUCGGGUUGUAAAACUCUGUCUUCAGGGAAGAAAAAAAUGACGGUGCCUGAGGAGGAAGCCACGGCUAACUACGUGCCAGCAGCCGCGGUAAUACGUAGGUGGCAAGCGUUAUCCGGAAUUAUUGGGCGUAAAGAGCAUGUAGGCGGGAAUUUAAGUCAGAUGUGAAAACUUGGGGCUCAACCUCAGGAUUGCAUCUGAAACUGAAUUCUUGAGGGUAUGAGAGGAAAGCGGAAUUCCUAGUGUAGCGGUGAAAUGCGUAGAUAUUAGGAGGAACACCAGUGGCGAAGGCGGCUUUCUGGCAUACAACUGACGCUGAGAUGCGAAAGCGUGGGGAGCAAACAGGAUUAGAUACCCUGGUAGUCCACGCCGUAAACGAUGGGUACUAGGUGUAGGAGGUAUCGACCCCUUCUGUGCCGCAGUUAACACAUUAAGUACCCCGCCUGGGGAGUACGGCCGCAAGGUUGAAACUCAAAGGAAUUGACGGGGGCCCGCACAAGCGGUGGAGCAUGUGGUUUAAUUCGACGCAACGCGAAGAACCUUACCAGGGCUUGACAUCGAGUGAAAAGUCUAGAGAUAGACUCCUCCCUUCGGGGACACGAAGACAGGUGGUGCAUGGUUGUCGUCAGCUCGUGUCGUGAGAUGUUGGGUUAAGUCCCGCAACGAGCGCAACCCUUAUCCUUAGUUGCCAGCGAGUAGGGUCGGGCACUCUAGGGAGACUACCGGUGACAAACCGGAGGAAGGUGGGGAUGACGUCAAAUCAUCAUGCCCCUUAUGUCCUGGGCUACACACGUGCUACAAUGGACGGUACAGAGGGAAGCUAAGCCGUGAGGCGGAGCAAAUCCCACAAAGCCGUUCUCAGUUCGGAUUGUAGUCUGCAACUCGACUACAUGAAGUCGGAGUCGCUAGUAAUCGCAGGUCAGCACACUGCGGUGAAUACGUUCCCGGGCCUUGUACACACCGCCCGUCACACCACGAAAGUCUGCAACACCCGAAGCCGGUGAGCUAACUCGUAAGAGAGGCAGCCGUCUAAGGUGGGGCCGAUGAUUGGGGUGAAGUCGUAACAAGGUAACCGU